GACGGAAGGUGCAAGCGUUGCUCGGAAUCACUGGGCGUAAAGGGUGCGUAGGCGGCCGUGCAAGUCUGGCGUGAAAGCCCCGGGCUCAGCCCGGGAAGUGCGCUCGAAACUGCGCGGCUCGAGUGCCGGAGGGGAGAGUGGAAUUCCUGGUGUAGCGGUGAAAUGCGUAGAUAUCAGGAGGAAUACCGGUGGCGAAAGCGGCAUACUGGAUCACUUCUGACGCUGAGGCGCGAAAGCCAGGGGAGCAAACGGG
rnacentral:rRNA from 1 species